UACGUAGGGACCGAGCGUUGUCCGGAUUCAUUGGGCGUAAAGGGCUCGUAGGCGGCCAACUAAGUCAGACGUGAAAUCCCUCAGCUUAACUGGGGAACUGCGUCUGAUACUGGAUGGCUUGGAUUUGGGAGAGGGAUGCGGAAUUCCAGGUGUAGCGGUGAAAUGCGUAGAUAUCUGGAGGAACACCGGUGGCGAAGGCGGCAUCCUGGACCAAUAUUGACGCUGAGGAGCGAAAGCCAGGGGAGCAAACGGG
rnacentral:rRNA from 1 species